AUUUUCAAUAGCUUUCCUUCGUCACCAAUUGCGAUUUACAGACCUAAACUAAUUUGCGUAUGAAGUGCUGAUAUAUAAAAUGUUGAUAUCUAGGUAUAUUGCGUUAUUUUACAAGAAAAGGAUUGAUUACUUUCUUAAGUAGUAAAGCUCAAGUUAGUCAAUGGAUAUGGUGGUUUGUUUUAAGAUACACACAUUAAUUAACUGCAUACUGGAAGGUGUAAAGCAUUAUAGAGCAUUCACUGAAUAAUAUUUUACAAAGAAGCACACAUCAAAUAAAAUCUGCAAAGUAGAUCCCUCGGAAGCACCGAAAACAAGGCAAACAGUGAAAAUUGCACCAGAAAAUAUAACAACACAAUAGGCGAGCAAAAGAGGAUAGUGUCGGAUGAUUUAUAAUCAAGAGUUAUGGGUGCGGAUUAGCCAUCUUAAGAAUAAGUAUUCAUUAAUUAAUUGUAGAACAAAAAAGAAAACAUUUGUAUUUUUGAAAGUGAUAUGUCUAGUGACAGUAUUAAAUCGUGUUAAAAUUAUGACAAGCGUUAUUAUGGAUUACAAGACAACAAAAGUGUACCGGGUAUGUAGACGUGGAGAAAGCAUACGUAAAAAACUAAAGUGCAAAAACCCAAAUUCCUCGCGCACUGUAGAACAACAUGUAGCUUCUGGGUCAAGACAUGGAUCAAAGUACAUCUCUACAACAGCAAGUUUAAAAGUUGCUAUAAUUAAUGCAUUUUUCGACGAGAAGAGGAAAUUUCGAAAAAGGCCGUUACGCAUUGUUGAAAUUGAUAUAAAAUAUUUUUGCUGGAACAUACCUUGCUAAGACUUGUAUUAAUCUAUACAACGAUAAAGUAAGGAAGCAUUUUCUAAAAGGUGAUACUCACAGAAGGUGGGCAAAAUCAUCGCAAGAGGUUCUUUUCCAAAUAGAACUACCAAAAUAUAUACGAAAAAGUAGAGAAACUUUUGACGAGGACGACUUAAUAAGGAAAUUCCGGGAAAUGAUUAUUUCAGAUGAAAUCAGUGUUUAUUCUUUUAUCAAAGCUAAACGACCUAAACAACCACCACCCAAGAGAAAAAAGAAGAAGAAUAGAAGAAAUUAAACUUUUCUUCUGGUGUUAAACACCUGCAUCAGUGAGUACUUUCGUGUAAAUUGAUUGCAAAUUGAUAAAUAUAACUGUUUAUAGAUAUCGUGUAAUGGGCUAUAGUACAUUAAUUACGCGUCAGCUUUCCUAUUGUCAGUGAUCGUGUACAAGCAUACCGAUUCCAAUGAUUAUUUAAUGUUGCAGUAGACCCGAAAACCAAUUUUCUUCAGUGCAAAUAUAUUUGUCGGGCAAGCGAGGUGAGUCAGUUGAGGUAUUGGCACCAUUUCAUAUCAUCAUAAGUAAAAAGCACCACGCUUGGUUUAUUAUGGGUGUACAUUUUUCUCCAAUUUAGUUAUACAUUUGUGUUGAUCACAAUCAAGUGAAGUCAAACUAUAAUUGCACAUAGCCAUUGUAUGCGAUUCGGUUGGUAAACAUUGCACAAAAAUUGUAAGAGUCAAUCACUGAAUGGUUUAUUUAUUAAACACAUUAGGCUAAAAAGCCACUGAGGACAAUGGUCCAGUACAUGCUUGACGAAGAGUGAAUGCAUAUAAUAUUUAUCUACCAUACCUUGCAUAUAUGAGAGCGUUACACUUUGUACAAAUAAAAAAUGUUAUGCACUAAAGACUUUUGAAUAAUAUCUUACGGAAAGAGAAAAUACAUUCAAAUACCGUAUGAGGCUAGAGGUAUAAGGUUAGUUCAUGGGCAAACUUCAUAAAAUUAAAACCAAACGCAAUAUUAAUGUGAAAAUAAACGUAAUAUAUAUUCAACCAUAUAUGCAUAUGCAUAAAAACUAUCAGCGAGACAGCUUACAUAAUAACAAAUAUAUUACACUAACAAGAUGGUUCUAUACUCACCGAUGCUAGUCAUAGCUUCUAUUCCGUAUAAACAGCUGAUCGCAUGUAUUGACAUGCUGCCAUUUCACUGAGGCCCAAUAGGGGUAACCGAAUUCGGAGCUCUAUGUAUAGAUCUAUUCAAACGCGUAAUGUCAUUUUCAUCAUUAUUUUUCCAAAAGUAGACGGCGCCUUAAGCGGCACAACGGCGGUAUAGCUCUACCAACUGUUCAAAUAUGUCCUGAUACCACACCUUAGAAUAUGAAUAUAGAGGUCUUUGAAAUCUCGUUAAUUGUGGACCGCCUGUCUCCUUCUAUUAUCGUCUUAACAGCCGUGACGUCGCAAUUACACGUGUUCGUUAUAGUUUUCGAUGGCGUCUUCUGUAGAUUUACACAAAACUGUACAUUUGCACGCAUUUUCAACUUGUCUUCAGGCGCCAUUUUUCGCUCUAGCGUUUGUUUAGUGUUAGCGCAAUUUGCAAUGCAAAUACGUAAUGCGAGUGUGAAAUUCUGGCGUUUACUCGUGUUGCCAUAGCAACUAUAUCAGACGAACGUCGUGAGUUACAUAAGCAAACUUUUUCACAUAAACUCGAAAUAUAUAUUAUGGCAAACCAAAUUUGAAAAGUGUUCGAUAUAGAUUAAAAAAUAAACUUGUCCACGAACUUUUGAAUAGACCCUCGUAUCCUUAUGCUUCUGCUAAUCUUAAAAGGUCGUGUGAUUAAUGUUUUGGUCCAUGAUAGAUGUUUAAACAUGUGAUAAAAACACAUGGCAUUAAGUAUAACAGUAUCAUGUUGUGAACGUGACGAUGCACCUACCAACAUAAAUAUUAUGACAAGGAACUUACUCAUUUAUUUAAGAAAAGAUAAAAAUGUGUAAAUGAAUUCACAUUUCAAAUUGAAACUUUCUGUUAGAACCAAAUUUCAUAACAUUUGUUUGUUUUGAUUUGUUUUACCUUUAAUAUUUAUGCGCUUGCUUUAUUUUUGAAUUGUUUGUAACUAUGUUACAUUUUCUGAAUUGCAUUUUGAACAGAUUUUUUUUUUCAAUUUUGUAAUUUCCUUGACACUCAUCGUUUCCUCAAUAUUUUAUUAUAAUUCACAUUACUCGGGACUAUACACCGCUUUUGGAUGUAAUUGCACUCAAGUUAUCAAUGAAGGUUCCAUGUGCACCGCCGUAUGAAUACUUCUGUGGAUGUCUUUGGAUGUCUUUAGAUAUUUUUUGGUACUUAAAACAUAAUAUGUAAAUGUUGAUUUCUGCUCGAUCCAGAGCUAGAGAGUAUGGAGAGUAGCAUGCAUUUCUACUAUACUGUCUAUGAACAGGCUCAAUCAAACCAAGCCUACAACAUUAUUAUUUUUGUCGCGUUGAGCUGCAUGUACCUAUAAAAUUCCACUUUUUCUAUUUAUUAUCACAGCAGCUUUUUUGUGCCGUGUGGCGGCCUUAAAAUGUCUCCCCGUACUUUCAAUCAGAGCUGUUAUUUUUUGGUCAUUUCAGAUCGUUUAGCACGACAUUUAUGUUGUGUUAUAGUGGUACAUUUCGGCUUGGGGGUUACAAUACUCCCGCAUUCAUGGCUUUUGAGUGUCGUAUAAUUAACAAAUAAUCCAGGCCUUCGACUGGUUUAUCGUCUAAUUUACUAUCAGAGUUCAUAUGCGUAGUAAUUGAACGCUGGAGUGGUUUGAUACUGAAGAAUCUGAAGUCUGAACCGUGGUAAAUUAGAUGAUAAAUCACAAGAAGGUCUUGCUUGUUUUCAUUCUGACAUGCUCAUUGACAUAUUGUAAUAAAUAUUACGUUGGAUUUUUAUUUUUGUCAAACAAUGACACGAUAUUGUUGUGUUUAGUUGAGAAAACAGUGCUUUAAAUUUGAUAAAUAUUGACAGUGAUAAUUCGUAUUGCUUUAAACAUUGACAGAAGUAUUAGAUGUGUAGAAUUUGACAGUGUCAAAAUUGUAUUUAUAGUCCAAUUCUUUUGUUGACAUUUGAACCGUUGAAUUUACCAUACUGAUUAGAUUAUGAUACAUGAUUUAUCCAUUAGAUUUUAUUAUUACCUUUGCUUUUCUUAUUUAUUCUCUGUAAGCAGUAAAUAUUGAACAGA